UGCCAGGCAGGGACCGCCUGCGACACUUCGCUGGAAACGCGGGACGCAGGUUUACAGAAGACUUGUGUUUUCCUUGACCGAGUUCAAAAGUGCCAGGACAUGCAGAACUAGACCUGCAGGACCUACGUCUCCUUCAACCGUAGUGAUUUGAGUCUCUGGAAGCAUCUCCAAAUGAGGUUGACGGUGGCCUCUCGGGCACCAGCGGGGAACGAGGCGGCCGCAGAACAGUGUCUCCGCGGAUUCGUUUCCUCUUUGUUUUUAAGGUACAAAAGGAGGAUCGAUGAUUCGGUUUCCUGAUGGAGUAAGGACUGCCAGCAGGAAAGUGAUAGAUGAGAAUGCACGCGAGCGUAUCCUAUGACGCGUUAAAACAUAUGCAACUUAUUUUGGCAAUAUUGUCUUCUGUUGUUGUGGCCCGUUUCCCAUCACACCUGCAAGCUCCUUGAAAUCAGAAGCACGAGUCUCAGAGUUGAUGGAAUCGCCCCAGAGUGACUAACGUUGCCUUAUAAGUUGAAAGUGUAUGUGGCUUGUUGACGCUUCAGAACGUCAGUCCUUUCUUCCGGCUAACGUCUCUCGUAGGUGUGGAAGAGACACAUUGCAAAAAAAAAAAAAAAAAAAAAAAAAGGCAACGUCUACUCAGGCAACUCAAAGGCUCUGUCGUGAACAGAUCGCUUGAAGGAGCAUGGGAAGUCCACCGUCCUGAGUCAGGCUUGCUGGUUUCCACUCGUUUUGUCUCCAUGCUUUCCUGGGGCGUCCAGCACCUGCCCUCUGCCCGCCACAGCCUCCACUGCCAGUAAAUCUACAAAGAAGACAUUAUCAACCACAUUUACAAAUCAAGAUUCAGGACCCAGAGAUGAGGUAGGUGUCUAAGGGAAAGAGAAGACACAGAAGGGACAGGAUGGGAACCAUCCUCCCCUCUCUGGCCAUGAAGGACCGGUUUGGAGCCUGUGAGGACAGAAGGUGAAGGACCAGUGCCAUGAAAUACUGGACGGGAAUAAGUCCAUGCAGCACUGCCUCUUUCCUAGGAAACAAAAUCAGUACGGGCUUGAGGAGAAGCCAUUCCUCUUCCCGACCUACCAUCCACAGGUGGCCGUCACUUUGGUCCCAAGGGGUCCGUUGGGAUAAAGUCUUACUGAGGUACCAGCUGCAGGGGUCAUGACAAGUGCCCUUGACCAAGAGGCUCAAGUGGAAGGAAUGUGAGCAAAUUCGUUCCUGGCCCCACAGGAGAUGUCACCGCCCUGAGGACACCCAGAAGUAGCUGGGGAAGAAUUUAAGCCAACAAGAAGAGCAUGGAGGUUAAGGUCUUACCAACAGGUGAAGAUCUGGAGCCAUGGAGACAUGGGUGUAAAUAUUAAUUGACCUUAUGUAUACUCACAAGCUAUUGAAACCUAGGAGGUGUGGAAAUAAUUGCUAAUCCACUGUUCUUUCUUUGGACUCUACCUCCCUGGCUCUAUUCUGGGGUUACUGCCACCAAAUCCAUGACUCCAUCAGAAGUCAGGGCUGGCAGGUUUGCUUCGCCCUCUACUGCGCACCUGCUCUUCCCUGUCUGGGCUGUUUUCAUACAAUUGGACUCAGCUUAUCUGCCUGCUCUCCUGAAGACUGGACUCUGCUCUCUCAUCUGAAUCUCUGUUACUUCGAUUAUGGGAUAGUAGGAAAUAAAUAUUUGGUCUUUGCCUCUGGGUCCUGGCACAGAGCCCCUAAAACUCUCGGAAUUUCCUGAGUGAUAAGAGUGUUUUCUGUAUGCUGAGGGCAGGGCCCCCAGAUAGCCUCAGAUGGGGUUGAGGAGGGGAGUUUUUCACCCCAGGAACCAACGAUUAGAGGGUAGGAACUUUCUGACCCGUUCUGAUCUCCUGGGAGGGGAGACAGACUAGAGAUUGACUCCAACCACCAACGGCCAAUGAUUUAAUCAAUCGCACCAACAUGAUGAGCCUUAGCUGGGAACUCUGGAACGACCACCAAGCUGCAGAGUUUCCAGGCUGGUAAGCACAUGGAGGUGCUGGGAUGGGACGUGCACCUGGAGAAGGCCCGGGAGCUCUGCACACCUGCUGCCCCCAAAUCUUGACCUAUGCAUCUCUGCCAUGAGCUGUUCCCGAGUUGUAUUCUUUAUAAUAAACUGUAGCCAUAAGUGAAGAGCUUUCUGGGUUCUGAGUCAGUCUAGUGAAUUACUGAACCUGAGGGCAGGGGUCCUGGGAAUCCCUGAAUUUGUAGUGGGGGUAGCCCAGGGAUCCCGCCCCUGCUGGCACCUCAAGUGAAGGCGAUCCCGCAGGACUGAGCCUGUAACCGUGGGGUCUGUGCUAACUCUGGGUCGUUAGUGUUGGAAUCAACUUGAAUUGCUGGACACCCAGGAGGUACUGGAGAAUUAGGGGACCGAUGGUUGUUGGAAAGAUCCUCAUCAGGUUGUCGACAUUCAUCUUAAAUGACAUUCCGACACUGCCAGGUGGUCAGGACAUUCUCCCAGCCUGCCUGGACAGACUGACACAUGAACCAGCAUAGAGCUGUCAGGUAAGGGCCUCCUACACACAGCCCUCCUGGCCAGAACUGCUGUCAUCUCUCACCUGGGUUGUGACAGCAAACCAUAAUGGGUUUCCCCGCCUCUAUCCCUGCCCUCCACACAGCAGCUAGAGGGACCCUUUUACAAAGUAAGUCAGACCGUGUCACCCCCUGCAAUGGGUUCCCAUCUCCUUCACGGCUUCCUCUUCAACCAUGACUUUGACUCCCUGGCCCUCAGUCCCUCCCCGCCAGCACACCAGUCUCCUCCCUGUUCUUGGAACAUGCCAAGCAGCUCCCAGCUACGGGAUCUGCAUGUGCUCCCCUGUCUGGAACAUUCUUCCCCUAAAUAGCUUAUGACUAAUUCACUCACCUCCUUCAAGUGUUUGCUCAAGUUUCAUCUCCAAGAGGUCUUUCCUGAGCAUCCUAUUUAAAACUGUGACACAUGUUCCUAUGAUACCCCAUUGGACUCCCACCUCCUUUUCCUGCCCACUGUUCCUUUUGUUCCAUUGUAUGAAGUACCAUAUAAUUUAAUUAUGUAUUAUGUUUACUGUGUACUGUCUUCCUCUGUUAGAAAGGAAAAGUCACAAAAGUCGGUAUCUACAUCCAUUUCAUUCCCUUACAUAUUCUAAAGACCAGGCAUAAUAGCAGA